GAUGAACGCUGGCGGCGUGCCUAAUACAUGCAAGUAGAACGCUGAAGGCGGAGCUUGCUCUUCUGGAUGAGUUGCGAACGGGUGAGUAACACGUAGGUAACCUGCCUUGUAGCGGGGGAUAACUUUUGGAAACGAUAGCUAAUACCGCAUGACAACAGUUAUUGCAUGAUAACUGUUUAAAAGGGGCAACUGCUCCACUACCAGAUGGACCUGCGGUGUAUUAGCUUGUUGGUGAGGUUAAGGCUCACCAAGGCGGCGAUACAUAGCCGACCUGAGAGGGUGAGUAGCCAGACUGAGACGGUGACACGGCCCAGUCGCAUUCAGGAGGCAGCAGGAGGGAAUCGGCAGGAAGGGGCGGAAGACAGAGCGAGAUACGCGGCGUGAGGGAAGAAGAGUGUCGGGUCGUAAAGCUCGGUUGUAAGGGAAGAACGAGUGUGAGAGUGGAAAGUACACACAGUGACGGUAUCGGACCAGAAAGGGACGGCUAACUACGUG
rnacentral:rRNA from 1 species